GGAUUGCCGCGGGCGUCGCCCCGGAGACACCUGACGCGCCGGCGCGCGACGGGCGCGGACUUUCAUCCUUUUCGCCUUCGCGAUCGAGCCGGUCGGGCAUCCGGAACGCAGCGGGCGCAACCACACGUCGUCAACGCCGAAGCGCAAGAGCGGGCUCGGACGGGGCCGCGUGCGUCGGCCGUUCAUGCUUGCAUCGCGCCGGCGGGCAGCGAGCCCGUCGGCGUCAAGCGCCGGGGAAGUGCGUGCCCGCAAAGCGGUCUCGACAUGCCGCCCAGGUCGAUGGGCAUCGAAUGGCGUCGAAUGGCGGAUGCCGAUGGGCAUCGCCCCCCGCGGCGCCGCGCUUUCGACCGUCACGCGGGCAUUCGAUCCGGACGAUCGGCCAACCGUCGCGAAAGCGCGCCGCGCGGCCCUCGAUCGAGGGUCGCGCGGCAUGUUCUUCGGCGAGGGGCAAGUGCCGCGCGCCCGUGUGGCGUGCGCGGAUCCAGGCGGCACGGGCGCGGCCGGCGGGGGCGCGGCGGACGGCGCGCGAAUGGAUUCGCCGGGCGCGCGCCGCGGCGAUAUCCGUGUUCCGGGGGCUCGGCGCCGGCGCGCGGCCGCACGCGCUCGCGCGCCGGCGCAUUCGGCCGCCAUCGUCCGCAUUCGGCCGCCUGUCGCGUACUCGUGCGCUACGCGCCGCCUUCUUCGCGCGCCGCGCUCGCCGGCGCGAGCCAUCGGCCGAUCACGCCGAGCGCGUCGUAGAUCAGCACCGCGAGCAGCGCGACGACGAGCCCGCCUUGCAGCACGAACGCGGUGUUCGAUGUCUGCAGCCCCGCGAUGAUCACGUCGCCGAGCCCCUUCGCCGCGACGGUCGAGCCGAUCGUCGCCGUGCCGAGAUUGAUGACGACCGCGAGCCGGAUGCCGUUCAGGACCACCGGAAACGCGAGCGGCAGCUCGAUCCACGCGAGCCGCUGCAGCGCGCUCAUGCCCAUUGCGCGCGCCGCGUCGACGGCGCCGGCGGGCACGUCCUGCAGCCCCGCGAUCGUGCUUUCGAAGAUCGGCAGCAGCCCGUACAGGAUCAGCGCGAUCAGCACGGGCUUCACGCCGAAGCCGACGGCCGGCACCGCGAGCGCGAGCACCGCGACGGGCGGAAAGGUCUGCCCGAUAUGCACGACGCUGCGCGCGACCGGCAGGAAUUCCGCGCCCGCGCGCCGCGUGACGAAAAUCCCGGCCGCGAGCGCGACGACCGCGCCCGCCGCGCUCGCCGCGCCGACGAUCGCGAGAUGCGACAGCGUCAAAUCGAGAAGGCUCGCGCGCCGGUAGAUCGCGGGCGCGCCGUUGUCGGCGAACGGCGCGAAAAGGGGCUCGAGCCAGCCGGGCCGCGCGAGCAUCACGGCGAGCGCGGCCAGCGCGGCGACGCGCGCGAGCAUGACGGGCGCGCG
rnacentral:rRNA from 1 species